GGGGUUGUAGCUCAGUGGUAGAGCGCUCUGCCUAGCACGUUGGAGGCCCUGGGUUCGAUCCUCAGCACCACUU
rnacentral:tRNA from 1 species